rnacentral:rRNA from 1 species
UACGUAGGGUGCGAGCGUUGUCCGGAAUUAUUGGGCGUAAAGAGCUCGUAGGCGGUCUGUCGCGUCGGCUGUGAAAACCUGAGGCUCAACCCUCGGGCCUGCAGUCGAUACGGGCAGACUAGAGUUCGGUAGGGGAGACUGGAAUUCCUGGUGUAGCGGUGGAAUGCGCAGGAUAUCAGGAAGAACACCCGUGGCGAAGGCGGUUCUCUGGGACGGUACUGACGCUGAGGAGCGAAAGCGUGGGGAGCGAACAGG